UACGUAGGGAGCGAGCGUUGUCCGAAGUUACUGGGCGUAAAGCGCGCGUAGGCGGGCCAUUAAGUGAGAGGUGAAAUUCCAGGGCUCAACCCCGGAACUGCCUCUCAUACUGUUGGUCUUGAGUGAGGUAGAGAGAAGUGGAAUGGCUGGUGUAGCGGUGAAAUGCGUAGAUAUCAGUCGGAACACCGGUGGUGAAGGCGGCUUCUUGGGCCUUUACUGACGCUGAGGCGCGAAAGCCAGGGGAGCGAACGGG
rnacentral:rRNA from 1 species